AGAUUAAAUUAUUACAGUGGGAGACUAUCCGUGCGUCUCGUUAAAUUACCGCUGCAGACCCAAAAACCCGACCCACAUGAAAGUCACCCUAUCGUAUCAGUACCGCAGCUGAAAAGAAGAGAGCUCAGGCUGACGAUUUCAUGGCCCCCUCCUCCAGCCGGCGAUUAAGGGCAUUCAAGCGGUGGAUGAACUCCCAAGGCAUCCGGUGGAGCAGCGAUGCCCUUUGUUUCGUCGACACUCCCGAACAAGGCAUCUCUGUGAAAGCACUGAGGGAUGUGAAAGAAGGAGAGGUGGUUGCUACCAUUCCAAAGGCCGCCUGCCUCACCAUUAAGACCAGUGGAGGACGCGACUUCAUCCAAGCUGCUCGCCUUGACGGUUGUUUGGGACUUGCUGUGGCACUUAUGUAUGAGAGAAGCUUAGGCAAUAACUCUCCCUGGGCUGCCUAUCUUCAGCUAUUGCCCGAUAGAGAGUGCAUACCUUUGGUUUGGACUCUUGAUGAAGUUGAUCACCUUCUUCCGGGCACUGAGCUUCACAGGAUUGUCAAAGAAGACAAAGCUCUUAUGUAUGAUGAUUGGAAAGAGAACAUAAUGCCUCUUGUGGAUGCCCUAGAUCUUGUUCCAGAGUCUUUUGGUGCUGAGCAAUAUUUUGCUGCAAGGAGUCUUGUUGCUUCUCGUUCAUUUCAGAUAGAUGAUUAUCAUGGGUCUGGAAUGGUUCCUUUGGCAGACCUCUUUAAUCACAAGACCCAAGCUGAGGAUGUCCACUUCACUUGUGGGGCUUUUGAUUCUAAGUCUGAUGAUGAAGAUGAAGGUGAAGAAAGCAGUAAUAAUGAUUCUUAUACUGAAAAUGCUAUUGAUGAGGAACCAUCAAGUGCAUUGGACUGCAGUUCAGAUGAUUCCAAAGUGUUGGAAAUGAUAAUGGUGAAAGAUGUCAAAACUGGAGCUGAGAUCUUUAAUACCUAUGGGAUCAUUGGUAAUGCUGCAUUGCUUCAUAGAUAUGGGUUCACCGAACCAGAUAAUCCAUAUGACAUUGUCAAUAUCGACUUGGAGUUAGUGCUUAAUUGGAGUUUGUCAUUGUUCUCUGGCCGGUAUAGCAGAGCAAGAUUGUCCCUUUGGAGAAAACUAGAUUACUCUGGAUGUGUUAGCCAAAAUGCUGAGUACUUUGAGAUCUCGUUUAAUGGGGAGCCACAAGUUGAGCUGUUGAUUUUAUUGUACAUGAUGCUGUUACCAGAGGAUGAAUAUUGCAAAUUGGAUCUUGCAGUUUCAAUUGCAUGUAACCAUAAAGAAUCCAUCAGCACCAUUUUGUCAGAGAAAUGCAAUAUCUCAUGGGAAAAUGGAUCAGAAGUUAAAAAAGAUUUGUUGCUGACAGAAAGUGUUUGUAGUGCUCUUUUGUGGCUCGCUGACAAGAGGGAGAGUUUGUAUGGUUUAAGUUCAAUGAAGGAUGAUAUGGAAGCGCUGGAAAAGUGUAACAAGAAAGAAAGAAAGUUGUACCAUUCUUUGAUGUUGCGUGUGAGUGAGAGGAGGAUUCUCGAGAAACUCAGAACUUAUGCCACUGUUGGUGCGGAAUUGUUAGAAACUACUAAGAGAGCAUCUAUUAGAAAGAGAUUGAAGAGGACUUGAGGUAAAAUUAUCUCAUUUCUCGAUCAUAGGAUAUCUGUUGUCCGUUGUUAAUUUCCUAUGCAUUUGUGGAGGUCUUUGAGGGCAGAGCCUUGGCACAAUGGUAAAGUUGCUCCUUUGUGUUAGGGAAGACAUUGAGAGUAACCUUUGUAAAAAGCAAGGGAAGGGUCAUAUGAUAGAUGAUUGUUCCUUGACCUCACAAAGCAAGGAUUUCGUCUACCUAGCAAUACCCUUUAUUUUGCUCGUAAAUGAGUUUUUCCCCCUAAUGAAUGGCGAGAGAAUGUGUUGACUGGAUUCUAACACGACUUUUGAUUCUAGGUUGUAUUUGCACCAACAACACUUGAGGAAGUCGGCCUUUAUGUUAAUGUGUGAGACCUGGUGGAUAAUGUGCCAGUUUUAUGUCAUGUGAUCCACAUUUGCCAUUUUAGAGUUUAUAUGACAUUAUUGUUGAAACAUUACCGUUGAAAUGACACCUUCAAUAUAUUAGUUCUAGAGGCCAUAUUUGAUAUCCGCUGCAAUAGAUUCUGUUUUCCAGUCUACAUUCAGAAUUUUUAGCAUUCUGCUAGCACAAUGACUACUACUGCUAUAUCUGUGAUCCUUUUUACUUUGAAGAUCCGAGGAGGGUGCCGUUUACAGUGAAUAACAUUUCUGACUGGGGAGAGGGCUUCCUACCGAAGGUAACUCCAGGAGAUAGCCUUUGCGAAUGUGAAAGAUAAUUGACAAUUGUUUGGUUUCUUUUUAAUCUAUACGUUUUUUUGUGUUAUUUUCAAGUGGAUAAUUUGUUUAAGAAAGAAUGCUUUGCACUGCAUCUUCUAGCAAUUCUAAUUGGUGUACAAGUGUAUGCACUGAUUUAUUGAGAAUUUCCCGAUUUCAUGCAAGGUAAUUUACAGAAAUCGGUAAGUGAAUAAAUGGGUCUUAUAAAGUUAUAACUAUUUAA